CUUUUGGAGGAUGAAGGUGCCAAAUGGGUACUGCUUCAUGCAGUACUCGCAUGCCCUGUUUAUACCCUCAGUCGCCUUCGAAAUAACCUCUUAGAUAACAAAGCUUAUGUGAACAUUGAGUAGAGCUGCAGAAUUCAGAAUUACAGGCCCUGGUUCAAGGAGCUUCAAACACAAGAGCGAUAUCAGUUCCACGCCGCCAAAGGCUGGGAGUUUUCUGGAAGGGAAGGCUUGAGGCUAUUACUCUUCCCGUGACAACAACAUUUGCUCCCGUGUUCUGAGGAAAAUGGCCUUUCUGAAAACGAUUUAUCUCAAGGUCACCACCUUAGAAGCAGAGACAGAAAAUGGACCCCUCUGUCUGCAAUGGUAAAUGAGGAAUCCGCAGGCAGGGAGUCUCCUUUCCACCUUGACAUGAAUGUGCUCCGUGGGUCCUCAUAGACCUGGUGAGGACUCAAUGAAGUGACACCUGAAUGAGAGUAGCCAAGCCAGUCACUAACUAGAAAAGGAUCUGCGACUUGUUUUUUUACCAAAACGUUUAUGCACACUUCCCUUCAAGGAGGUACGGAACAAACAACAAACAAAUAAACAAACAAAAAUGGCAUUGCUGUCCAUCUGCUCCCAACAGCUCCUCAGCUAGACUGUCCCUUAUAUGUGAGCUUCACCGAGUCUGGGAUGGUCAGACUGGAAGAACGAAUGACACCAGUCAGAGAUUCUCUGGAGUACAGGGACUAGAAAUGGUGCGAACACAUAGAACAGUCUUCCUCCAAAUACAUGCCUUGAAGAAGCC
rnacentral:lncRNA from 1 species